UUUUAUUUAUACUUUUAUAAUUUUUAUUAUGACCAUAAAAAUAACCCUGUAGUCCACAACAAUUUAGUUGUACCUUUUAAAAUAAAAUUAUAGAACUGAACAGUUUGUAAUACAAAGGAUAAAUGCUAGUAAUGGAUACCUCAUUUACCCUGAUGUGAUUAUUACAUAUUAUAUACCUGUAUCAAAACAUGCCAUAUAUGGCAUAAAUAUAAAAACAUACUAUGUACCCAUGAAAAAUAAGAACAAUAAAUUUAAAUAAGAAAAAAUAUAAAUGUAAAACCUAUGGGAAUAUUCUUUGACUUAUUUGCAGUUUAAAGCCACUGGCAAAAGAGAUUACUAAAGAUGUUAGUCCACUAUGUAACCAAAUAGUAUAUUGCUAUCAUCAUCUUUUACCUACGCCAUUGAGUAAGGUGGGGCAGGUUAAAGUUUGUGGCAUAAAAAUGCUUCACUGAAUACACAACAGUCUUAACAUGUUAAAAUAUGUUUAAAAAUCUAAGUUCAUACAUAAUCUAAAAAUUUUGAAAUGUACUGCAUUUUAUUAUGAAAAGCACAAUUCAUAAAAUACUGAAUUUUAACUAAAAUUUAAAAACUUUUCACUAUAAUGCAGAAUAUUACUCUGAACACCUACCUCAUGCAUGACUCAAUAUUAUCAGUUAACCACAAGAGCCUCUCUACUUAGAUUUUCAUCACGUGUCUUUCAUUUUAAUGUUCUUACUCUUCCAUUAAAAAGGUCAUAAGUAAUGCCCAUCUAAUAAAAAAAAAUCUCUCAUAUCUUUGAUGCAACAACAGUUGAUCACAUGCUUUCACAUGUGAAUACAAUAGAAAUGAAGAAAAGCAUGGACCAGGUGUGUGGCUCAUGCCUGUAAUCCCAGCAUUUUGGGAGGCUGAUGCAGGCAGAUCACCUGAGGUCGGGAGUUCGAGAGCAGCCUGACCAACAUGGAGAAACCCUGUCUCUACUAAAAAUACAAAAUUAGCUGGGCGUGGUGGCACAUGCCUGUAAUCCCAGCUACUCGGGAGACUGAGGCAGGAGAAUCACUUGAACCCAGGAGGCGGAGAUGGCAGUGAGCUGAGAUCAUGCCAUUGCACUCCAGCCUGGGCAACAAGAGCGAAACUCCGUCCAAAAAAGACCAAACAACAUGGAUUUGAGAGUUGAAUUAUAUCAUUAUUCACUUUUUAAAAAACCUGUAAUUUUUUCCAAAGAAAACAGUGUACUUUGAAUGUAAAUAUACCUCUGCAAAAAACUUUUUCACUAUUAGUUAUCUACCAACUUGUGUUUUGAAUAACUUUCUGUACUCAGCACUCUGAUUUUGUGUAAUGUCUGAAGUGUCAGUAUCUUAAGAUAUCUGUACUGUGAAUUCUCUGAUAUUUAUAUAAACCUAAUUUUGGAUCAUGUAUUUCAUAUUUACUGUUGCAUUUGCAAAAAUCUAUUUUAGUAUAAUUCCUCUCAUGUGUUCUAAGCUGUUGUUGAAAAAGUAUUUUUCCAAAUUCAUUACACUCAUAGGGUUUUUCUCCAACAUAAAUUUCCUGGUAUUGAACAAAGUUUGAACAACUGCUUCAGGGUUUUUCUCUAGUACAAAAUGUGUACAGUAAGAUCUAUGAUACAAGCAAAGGUACUACAAACCUCUUCGUAUUUUUAAUGUUUCUCUUCAAAAUACUCUGCUGCACUUUACAGGCUUAUAUUGUCUGAAAGAUCUUUUGACAGUAAUUUCAUUGAUAACGCUUUUAUUAAGUACUAACUUUCUGAUGUUGAGUAAGAUAUGAGCAGAUAUUAAUGACUUUUUCAUUCUUUAUACAAUUUUUCUCAAGUAUAAAUGCUUUCCUGUGCAAUAAGGUAUGAGAAUUGUUUUGUCACAUUUGUCACACUUCUCGGAGUUUUCUCCAGUAUGAAUCAUCUUAUAUACAAUCAAGUGUGACAACCACUUAAACGCUUUGUCACAUUCUUCACAUUUCUAGGAUUUCUCACCAGUAUGAUUUCUUUUAUGUCUAGAAAAGUUUGAGGUGUUGUCAAAAGCACUGUCAUGUCUUUUAGGUUUGUAUGGUUUCUGUCCAGUAUGAAUUUUCUUAUGUCGGGUAAGGUUUGAGGACCGGUUAAAAGCUUUGCCACAUUCUUCACAUUUGUAGGGUUUCUCUCCAGUAUGAAUUCUCUUAUGUUUAGUAAGAGUUGAGGACCAGUUAAAGGCUCUGCCACAUUCAUUACAUUUGUAAGGUUUCUCUCCAGUAUGAACUCUCUUAUGUUCAGUAAGGGUUGAGAAUGCCCUAAAGGCGCUGCCACAUUCUUCACAUUUGUAGGGUUUUGCUCCAGUAUGAAUUAUCUUAUGUUUAGUAAGGGUUGAGAAUACACUAAAGGCUUUCCCACAUUCUUCACAUUUGUAUGGUUUCUCUUUAGUAUAAAUUCUCUUAUGUUUAGUAAGAGUUGUGGACCGUUUAAAGGCUUUACCACAUUCUUCACAUUUGUAGGGUUUCUCU
rnacentral:lncRNA from 1 species